rnacentral:lncRNA from 1 species
AUAUUGGAUUGAAAAAUGACAGAUCGUGUAUGAACCUGCUGAAGAGCCUAUUAAUGCUCAACAUAGAGUUAAUAAUUGAAUAGCUGCAUCAGGUUAUUAGAAGAAUAAGAUACUUGGGCUGGAAGGGAGACUCAAGUCAUCAUUCAAUCUACUUGCUUUGCCCCAGUGAGCAAAGUUGACACUGAAAAUAACCAAUCAUCAUCUUCGAUAUGGACACCUUUCUCCAAUUAGAUUGAGCCUGAUGUCCAACCUCAGUGGCUGGAAAAACAAGAAAUGAAAGCAUACUGGCAAAGGGC